ACUCAAAUGAAUAGACGGGGGCCCGCACAAGCAGCGGAGCGUGUGGUUUAAUUCGAGGUUACGCGAAGAACCUUACCAGGGUUUGACAUGCAGGUAGUAGGGAUCCGAAAGGUGACCGACCCUUCGGGGAGCCUGCACAGGUGCUGCAUGGCUGUCGUCAGCUCGUGCCGUGAGGUGUCCGGUUAAGUCCGGUAACGAGCGCAACCCUUACUCUGUGUUACAUGUGUCACAGGGGACUGCCGGUAUCAAGCCGGAGGAAGGUGGGGAUGACGUCAAGUCAGCAUGGCCUUUAUGCCCUGGGCUACACACACGCUACAAUGGCCGGUACAAUGGGUCGCAAAGCCGCGAGGCGGAGCCAAUCCACAAAGCCGGUCUCAGUUCGGAUCGUAGGCUGCAACCCGCCUACGUGAAGUCGGAGUUGCUAGUAAACGCAGGUCAGCACUACUGCGUUGAAUACGUUCCCGGGCCUUGUACACACCGCCCGU
rnacentral:rRNA from 1 species